rnacentral:rRNA from 1 species
GAUGAACGCUAGCUACAGGCUUAACACAUGCAAGUCGAGGGGAAACGGCAUCGAAAGCUUGCUUUUGAUGGGCGUCGACCGGCGCACGGGUGAGUAACGCGUAUCCCACCUGCCCAUCACUUGGGUAUAACCUUGCGAAAGUAAGACUAAUGCCCAAUGACAUCCCACGAAGGCAUCCGAAUGGGAUUAAAGAUUUAUCGGUGAUGGAUGGGGAUGCGUCUGAUUAGCUUGUUGGCGAGGUGACGGCCCACCAAGGCAACGAUCAGUAGGGGUUCUGAGAGGAAGGUCCCCCACAAUGGAAAUGAGACACGGACCAAAAUCCGACGGAAGGCAGCGGUGAGGAAUACUGGUGAAUGGGCGAUAGCCUGAACCAGCCAAGUGGCGUGCAGGAGGACGGCCCUAUGGGUUGUAAACUGCUUUUAUAAGGGAAAAAAGUGGGUCACGUGUGACUUUUUGCAGGUACCUUAUGAAUAAGGACCGGCUAAUUCCGUG